rnacentral:rRNA from 1 species
UGAUUGAACCAUAGGCGAAAGCCAGUGGUU